rnacentral:rRNA from 1 species
CCUACGGGCGGCAGCAGUGGGGAAUAUUGCACAAUGGGGGAAACCCUGAUGCAGCAACGCCGCGUGAGUGAAGAAGGUUUUCGGAUUGUAAAGCCCUGUUAGCAGGGAAGAGGAAGGACGGUACCUGCAGAGGAAGCCACGGCCAAAUACGUGCCAGCAGCCGCGGUAAUACGUAGGGGGCAAGCGUUGUUUGGAAUAACUGGGCGGAAAGGAUGCGUAGGCGGGUAAACAAGUUAUAUGUUAAAUAUAUAGGCUUAACCUGUAGAAAGCAUUUAAAAUUGGUUGACUAGAGUGCAGGAGAGGUAAGGGGAAUUCCUAGUGUAGCGGUGAAAUGCGUAGAGAUUAGGAGGAACAACAGUGGCGAAGGCGACUUACUGGACAGUAACUGACGGUGAGGCAUGAGAGCGUGGGGAGCAAACAGGAUUAGAUACCCGUGUAGUC